ensembl:lncRNA
GGACGGGGAGGGCACAGGGAGCUAGAAGUCAUCUACUUGGGGCGCAGGCUGGGUGCCCACAGGUUCAUGGGAAGCCAGUGGCCAAUGGGCCCUGUAUCUGGAGAAGGAAAGACCCAGGCUCUGUUCAUUAGUCAGAUCAACACACUAGAAAAGGCAUUAAAGGUUCAGAUUUGAGCUGAUGUCCGUUUUCUUCCCAAGCUCAUAGCACUUUGGGUCCAUUAGGGAGCCUACCCCACGCCAGUGACUGAAUCAUCCUGUACCUUAGUUUCCUGGCCUGUGAAAUGGGAACGAUCUUUGUUCUGAGCUCACCAGUCUGUGAUAAGAUUUGUGGCCUGAUGAGAGGAGCCUGGCGGGCUACAGUCCACAGAAUCGCAGAAGAGUCAGAGCAGAAGACAAGCGGCUUGGCGCGCACGCAUGCUCACGGGCCACACAACACGGCACCCUUCAAGUUCAAGAGAACAGCCCCUUCUGAGGGUUGUCCCUCUGGGCCUGUCUGCGUCCCUGCCUCUUCCUAUAAGGACAUCAGCCACGUUGGAUGAGAGCCCACCC